CCACUUCCACCAUCCGAGUCGGUCGCCUAUAUUAGCAACGCUGCUUCGGCGGCUAUGGCGAUAAACGGUGCGUGGAAUAAACGUUGUGGACCCGGGGGCAGUGCCCGGCGCCUCCACCACUCAAAGCCGAGAGGCUGGUCGGUUUCCCUCGGGAGUCCGCACCCCUCGCGGCCCAAGGGGGGCGAAACAGGCUCGACACGCGUGGUAAAGACCCAUCUUUCGCUCGGCAUGGUUCCGCCGUUAUCGGGCCGUAUGACAAGUGCCAAUGACAACCAUGAGGCACUCGCGAUCGCUGCCUAAGCAGCAGUGACACGCGCGGUUCGGGAGGCACCGGGCAACAGAAGCCUCCCACU
rnacentral:tmRNA from 1 species